AAGAUGAACAAGAAGGUGAUGUCAUUGGAAAGAAAAGCAAAUAAAAAAAAAGAGAAAAGAACAAAAAAAAAAUUAAAAAAGAAUAGAACAAAACUUGAAAAAGAACAAAAAAGAAAAGAGUUUCAACCGAAACCUCAAGAGAAAGUGAGAAACAUGGAAAACAAUAUGAUCCAUUUUCCAGGCUUUUCUUUCGUCAAUCAUCAUCAUCAUCAUCAUCAUCAUCUUCUCCUGUUAAUUAUCAUCAUUUUCUGUUUUUCCCCUGAACACCAAUCAUUAUUAUUCAACAUUUUCUAUUCUCUUUAGAGUCAGUUUUUCUAUUAUCUCCUCCAUCUUUUUAUUACCAAUUUCUCUCUCAAUCAGUGAAAUCUCUUUGUUUUUUCAUCUUCUUCCGUGAUAAUAUGUGACAAUUAUCAUCUUUAAUUGUGAUUCUACAAUUUAAUACCUUAAUCAGUGAUCUUCUCUUGAGAAGAAGAGAUUAUCUUUGUUAAUCUAUUGUAAUGGGAUAAACAAUGGAAUUGAUUAUCUUCCAUGUGGAUUCAGCUUGAUGCAUCUGUUAUUUUCUUAAUUACAUCAACAUUUUCCGCCACCAUAAUCAUCAUCAUUUAUCAUGAAAGUUAAUGACAUUUUAUGUGCCAUGAUCAUGGUUGAAUUUGCUAAUCAAAUUCAUAGUUAGGUAAAAAUAGUGAAAGAAAAUGGUUUAGUUAUAACGAAAAUUGAUAAGAUGAAGUUAAUUGUUGUGGAAAUCAAAUUACUCGUUUCUUUUUUUCAAUGCACUUUAAUUG